GCCAACAGAGUGGACAAUGCCAUUGUCACAGUCGACACCGGUGGGGAAGUCGGCGAAGGGUCCGAAAGUCUUCUCUCCGAUAAUGGCGUCGUUGACGAAGUCCUUACGGAACUUGCGGGAGUACACAAGGGAUGGGCCAGCAAGAGAGACCAAAGGUUGGCUGGAGACGGCAGAA
rnacentral:ribozyme from 14 species